AGAGAGAGCCAUCUAUUUGCAGCCCCAGAAACACAUUUCUGCCUUCUCUCCUUGAGCCCAAACCCACCCUUCAAAGUUACCCCAGGAUGGAUUGCUGGCUGCUACUCUGAGUAAGAGGUACAAAAUCCAAAAAGUACAAAAGAAUAUGGAGUGAAAACUUAUCGUGGACACUGUUCCAGAUCAGCACACACAGGUCUGCUCUAUUCUUCUUACCUUGCCACGUGGUAUUCCUUUUUUUUAAAAAAACAGUAAUCUGUAAUACAUAUGAUUAAAG